rnacentral:rRNA from 1 species
GAUGAACGCUAGCGGCAGGCUUAACACAUGCAAGUCGAGGGGCAGCAUGAAGGUUAGCAAUAACCUUUGAUGGCGACCGGCGCAAGGGUGCGUAACGCGUGAGCAACUUGCCCGUUUCAGGGGGAUAACCGGUGGAAACGCCGACUAAUACCCCAUGGCAUCGUCUGGAGGCAUCUCCAUUCGAUUAAAGAGUUUCGGAAACGGAUAGGCUCGCGUGACAUUAGCUAGACGGCGGGGUAACGGCCCACCGUGGCGACGAUGUCUAGGGGUUCUGAGAGGAAGGUCCCCCACACUGGAACUGAGACACGGUCCAGACUCCUACGGGAGGCAGCAGUGAGGAAUAUUGGUCAAUGGUCUGACGACUGAACCAGCCAUGCCGCGUGAAGGUGACGGCCCUAUGGGUCUUAAACUUCUUUUGUAAGGGAGCAAUAAGUCUCACGUGUGGGAUGAUGAGAGUACCUUACGAAUAAGCAUCGGCUAACUCCGUGCCAGCAGCCG